rnacentral:lncRNA from 1 species
UGAAACAAGGGAGAGAGAGAAUGGAUAAGGAUGAAUUAGUUGGAAGUCUCAUCCAAACUAAUUCAAAAUUGGAAGGCGUGAGGGGAGGCGUCCCACCUCUUCCUCCAGCAUCUUGGCAUCGCACCAAGCAAGGGACUAGCUCAUCUUCACGUAAACAAAGAGAAUUCAAAAUCCAAAACUAACUUCAUUCAUCAUACCCUCCUUUAUAUAGAAAGAAAGGUUGGCAAAGGAUAAGGAUAAGGACUACACAGAAUUUUAAAUUAGACUCCUAAUUACAUGAGGACUCAAUUCAAAAUUUAAAUUUUCUAAUUGACCAAUCAAAGGCCUUGACACCUAAGCCUAGACACCUAGGAAUCCAUUCCUUAUGGCAUGUGGAUUGAAACCCAUCAAAAGGAAUUCAGCCGCAUGCCAUGAGUUGGAAUCUAGGUGGACUCCUUCUCGGGUACCAACAUCAGCAUGAAGUUCGGGAGA